rnacentral:tRNA from 1 species
GUGGCUAUAGCUCAAUGGUAGAGCGCUAGGUUGUGGUCCUAGUAACGAGGGUUCAAUUCCCUCUAGCCACC